rnacentral:rRNA from 1 species
GAUGAACGCUGGCGGCGUGCCUAAUACAUGCAAGUAGAACGCUGAAGGAGGAGCUUGCUCUUCUGGAUGAGUUGCGAACGGGUGAGUAACGCGUAGGUAACCUGCCUGGUAGCGGGGGAUAACUAUUGGAAACGAUAGCUAAUACCGCAUGACAACAGUUAUUGCAUGAUAACUGUUUAAAAGGGGCAACUGCUCCACUACCAGAUGGACCUGCGUUGUAUUAGCUAGUUGGUGAGGUAACGGCUCACCAAGGCGACGAUACAUAGCCGACCUGAGAGGGUGAUCGGCCACACUGGGAUUGAGACACGGCCCAGACUCCUACGGGAGGCAGCAGUAGGGAAUCUUCGGCAAUGGACGGAAGUCUGACCGAGCAACGCCGCGUGAGUGAAGAAGGUUUUCGGAUCGUAAAGCUCUGUUGUAAGAGAAGAACGAGUGUGAGGGUGGAAAGUUCACACUGUGACGGUAUCUUACCAGAAAGGGACGGCUAACUACGUG